UACGAAGGGGGCUAGCGUUGCUCGGAAUGACUGGGCGUAAAGGGCUCGUAGGCGGUUUGUCACGUCGGGAGUGAAAACUCGGGGCUCAACCCCGAGCCUGCUUCCGAUACGGGCAGACUAGAGGUAUGCAGGGGAGAAUGGAAUUCCUGGUGUAGCAGUGAAAUGCGCAGAUAUCAGGAGGAACACCGGUGGCGAAGGCGGUUCUCAGGGCAUUACCUGACGCUGAGGAGCGAAAGUGUGGGGAGCGAACAGG
rnacentral:rRNA from 1 species